AUGCGAAUCAGAGAAGAUGUUGCCAGAAAAUUAACACACAAACGGAGGGGGACUCAGAUGUGGCCGGAAUCAGCGGAAAUGAAGGGAGGCGACGCAGUUCGUCGGAAAAUCGUAAAGAGGAGGCGGGGGGAAUUUCCAUGGUGGCCGAAGGCGGCUAGGCGGUGGCUUCGGUCACUGUCAGUUGAUCGGAGGAAUAUUUGCAACUUUGUGACUUUUUGUUUUUGA